CGCUGCCGUUCGGGCUACUGCUCAUCAUACUCUCUCGAGUGCUCGCGUUGCCAGGAGCGUCUGUGGGGCUGAAGUUUUUCAUCGUGCCCAAGUGGAGAGAAGUUCUGUCUGUCACGCUUUGGGGGAGAGCCGCCGAGCAAGUGAUCCUGUCGCUAGGCCUGGGCUACGGCACCGUCAUAUGCUAUGCUGGCUACGGCAGGAUUCGGAACAAGCUCAUAAACGACCUAGAGAUUAUCAUCGCGACGCAGUUUUUCGCCAACUUUGGCUUCGGCCUAGUCGUCUUCUCCGUGCUUGGGUUCCUGGCGUCAGAUCUACAGAUACACAUCGAAGACAUCAUUACUUCCGGCUUCGACCUUGCCUUCGUGGCCUAUCCGGAAGCCGUGAGCCAUUUCAGGAACGCUUCCCUGUGGGUUGUCUGCUUUUACGUGGCGCUGUUCUGCAUGGCACUGAAUGCCCAGG
rnacentral:lncRNA from 1 species